GUUUAAAAAAUGUAUCACUGAAGUUUUGCCUUUCAUAUGAAUUGCAGAAUGUUUCCAAGAAAAUAAUCAAGUGUCUAAACUCAUUUUGCUUCUUAGGAAAAAAAAUGUAUUUUGAAGGCAAAGAUAGAAAAUAUUCCAGAGAACACAUCCAUCUGGAAGAUUUUCCCAGAACUCUUCAGAUCAGCCUGGAUCCUAUUUUCAUAACUCAUCCACACAGUGGAUGGUGGGCAUUUAUAUUAUGUCUCCUUAGAAGCAGACAUCGUCCUACACAAUCAUCUAGAGCUUCUUGCAGCCUUGAAAGAAAGACAUAGCGAGCAUGAGUGGGGGAGAGGCAGAAAGAGGGGGAGAGAGAGAAUCCCAAGCAGGAUCCAUACUGUCAGCACAGAGCCUGACAUGAGGCUCCAUCCCAUGAACCGUGAGAUCAUGACCUGAGCCAAAAUCAAGAAUCGGUCGCUUAACCAAUGGGGCCACCCAGGCGCCCCGGAAAAGUGUUUUUAUUUGUAGGAGACGCAGAGUAAAGAACUGACAAAGGGUGUCACAUCAGCAAUGUUCUCUCAGGUAGUUUGGAAAAAAAAAGUUUUGUUGUUGCUAUUGUUCUUUACUUGUGCUUUUUUGUAAAUGGGAGAUUGUUCCAAAUUAUAUUUUUAGAAAUGACACAAAGCUUAGUACACAUUCAAAUUAGUUAGCAUCUUAUCCACAAACCUUCCAGUUUUGUGUGUUACCUUAUAUCUUCCCACUUCCCUGAAAUAACCACAUGCUUUAGUUCCAGAGCUGGUCAAGCCUCCUUCUCAUCCUUUUACAGGAAUACUGAUACCUUUCUCUUCUCUCUCCUAGAAAAUUUUUCGUUAUUCUUUAUGACCCACUGAAAUGCUCUCUCUGUGGAACCUUUUCAACUCUUUUGAACACAGUUAUCUAAGGCGCUCUAUUCCCAUCAACUUUACACAUUACUCUGUGGGUAUUGUCUGUAAUACAAUACCUGUUAUGAAGGAAAGGCCUGCAGUAUAUUCAUCUUCCCAUUCCCAGGACU